AUACUCUGGUUUCUCUUCAGAGAAAAUAAAUCUUUCACCUUUUCACCUAAAGAUUUCCAUGGAGAGGAAUCACCAAAAGUUUUUGCUUAAUUUUGAGACCUUGUUAUUACAAAGC